UACGUAGGGUGCAAGCGUUGUCCGGAUUUAUUGGGUUUAAAGGGUUCGUAGGCGGGAAAUUAAGUCAGUGGUGAAAGCCUGCAGCUCAACUGUAGAACUGCCAUUGAAACUGAUUUUCUUGAAUUUAUAUGAAGUGGGCGGAAUGUGUCAUGUAGCGGUGAAAUGCACAGAUAUGACGCAGAACACCGAUAGCGAAGGCAGCUCACUAAUAUACAAUUGACGCUCAGGAACGAAAGCAUGGGUAGCGAACAGG
rnacentral:rRNA from 1 species